GUGAACGCAGGACCAUGAAAACAUAGAAUCAACAAUAAUUUGCUAUGCUGCUAUUUUGUAAUUUAUAGCACUAUGGCGACAGGUGACAACUCCCACCUGGCCAUGGAGGAAUGCUCCACACCUGAUUUUGGCCCGCUUAUGUUGAAGGACAUGUACGAAUCCUACAUGACUGGCCAUCUUUGUGACUUCUCAGUCAAAGUCGAAGGCAAGACAUACAGAAUACAUAAGAUAGUUCUGGCCAGUUGCAGUGACUAUUUCAAAGCUGUGUUUUCCCACGACAUGCUUGAGAGUCGCCAGGAAUAUGUAGAGCUGAAGGGACUGACAGAGAAAGGAGUCCAUCCACUUAUUAAAUACGCCUACACCGGCUCUGUAGUACUCACCCUAGACAAUAUCCAGGAGGUCAUAUGUGCAGCCACAUUUCUACAGAUGACUACUGCCAUUGACCUCUGUAUAGAAUACCUCAAAAAGAAGAUGACAUUUGACAAUGCAGAAGAACUACUGGGUAUAGGUGAAAUACUGUCUAUACCUACCUUGAAAGUUCACUAUAGGGAAUAUAUCUUAGAGAAUUUCAUUCAGUUUUCAGAAACUGAUUCGUUUUUGAAUUUGGACCCUGAUACACUGAUAGACUAUUUGCUGGACGACCAUCUGCGGACCACCACAGAGCUACAGCUGCUGAAGGCUGCUCUGAGGUGGUACGAACAUGACCCUAAAGCUCGGGAAAGUAAAGCCUUUGAUGUUUUAGACAAAAUUCGAUAUGUAGUGGACGGUUGGCCGGCAAUAGAGUAUGCCAUGAAGAACGAGCCCUUCAGAUCAAAUCGCAAAUGUAGAGAAAUUCUAAAAUUCUGUACUGAAUAUAUGGUGAACGCUACCAAAAGGUAUACAUACUACGACCACAGGACACGUGUGAGGUUUGAAAGCAAAACGUUGGUACAGUUUGGAGGUGUGACUAGGUUUGAUAUGUAUGAGGAUAGUGAAAUGCCACCAGAUGAUUUUGGUGAUCAUUGUGGCUGGGAAAGAAACCACUUCUACCACACUGACCUAAAACACUGGUUCCCACUGGGAUGUGUACGUGUCAUGGAAGCCAUGUCGCAUUUGACUGUCACAGAAGUGAAUGACUGCAGUAUAUUAUGUGGGGGGUAUGUGUAUGAUAUGGAUGAGGACUUGGCGUCCCGCAGUGCCACGCGACAAGUACGUAUGUUUACCCCUAGCCAUCUCAGUAUCUGGGACCUGGAAAGUAUGAAGCAUGAACGUGCACAGCAUGCUGCAGUCUGUCUCCAAGGGAACAUCUAUGUGAUAGGAGGCAAAGACAACAAGCAGCCACUGGCCUCUGUGGAGAAACAUGAGUGUGAUGAAGGCGUGUGGUAUUACGUGAAGCCUCUCCCCAAACCACUCUACGACCAUGCAGCAGCUGUAGCUGAAGGAAAGAUCUAUGUAACUGGAGGUGUAGAGGUGACACCCACCAACAAGAUGUGGUGUUUUGAUCCUUCACUCAACAAGUGGCACAAAAAGGCUUCACUGCUGCAAGCCCGUGCCGGACAUGGAAUGGUAAGCCUAAAUGGGGUACUGUAUGUGUGUGGAGGGUACAAGGAGGUGGGAUUCGACAGCCCUAACACUGACUCCAGUCUGGACUCGGUGGAGUCCUACAGCCUUCAGACAAGACAGUGGACCAGUCUCGCUCCAAUGCCAAUUAGUGCAUUCCAUGUGGGCAUAGUUGUGUUAAAUGAGAAGAUCUUGGUCGCGGGAGGCGAGACGGAAGGAGGAGAACUGAUACCUAACAUCCAGCAGUACGACCCCCAGCAGAACCGCUGGACCCAGUAUGGAAGACUGGAGAGGCAACUGAAGGGUCUAGGUCUUUGUGCUGUGACAGUCAAGUUUGCCAAGAAGGGACCAGGUGAUGACUAUGUGAAGGCCUUCACCGAGACGGAAGCAGCGUCUAAUGUGUGUAUGGUGGACGCUGGACAUAUAGAGGACUCGGACGAUACAGACGACUCUGAAUUCUUCCUUAUAUGAUACGUUCAUACUUACCCGACAUCCCUCCAGUAUGUAUUGGUCUCCUAUACACCUGUAUACCUGUAUUCAGUAGUCACCAGGAUUCAACAUAGGCUGGGUGCUUCUGAAUCUUAAAUGUGCACAUGUGACUUCUGUAUGGGGCCUAACACCGAAUUCUACAGACAUUCAUCUAAAGGACUAAAAUCUCAAAUAAAAGAAACGUUUAUGGAUGUUUCUACUACAGAAAGAGGAAGGUCAUAGUAAUCGCAAUCACACAGGAGGAAAGGUGAAGGUCGUAGUAAUCGCAAUCACACAGGAGGAAAGGUGAAGGUCAUAGAAAUCGCAAUCACACAGGAGGAAAGGUGAAGAUCAUAGGAAUCGCAAUCACACAGGAGGAAAGGUGAAGGGCGUAGUAAUCGCAAUCACACAGGAGGAAAGGUGAAGGUCAUAGAAAUCGCAAUCACACAGGAGGAAAGGUGAAGGUCAUAGUAAUCGCAAUCACACAGGAGGAAAGGUGAAGGUCAUAGUAAUCGCAAUCACACAGGAGGAAAGGUGAAGGUCAUAGUAAUCGCAAUCACACAGGAGGAAAGGUAAAGGUUGUAGUAAUCGCAAUUACACAGGAGGAAAGGUGAAGGUCAUAGUAAUCGCAAUCACACAGGAGGAAAGGUGAAGGUCAUCGUAAUCGCAAUCACACAGGAGGAAAGGCGAAGGUCAUCGUAAUAGCAAUCACACAGGAGGAAAGGUGAAGGUCAUAGUAAUCGCAAUCACACAGGAGGAAAGGUGAAGGUAGUAGUAAUCACAAUCACACAGGAGGAAAGAUGAAGGUCGUAGUAAAUUUAGAUGUUGUAAUUAAGAUUGAAUGACAAGGUUAAUUGCUAUUUGCAAUUUGAAAAAUCAUUUGAAAAUAUUUAAAAAUACGCCCAUAAUAUAAUAGGUGUACUGAAAGACGAGGCCAGUACCUGUUGUAGAUCUGUAUAACGGUCACACAAACAUUAGUAGUUACUUAUGUUGGCAGAAUUUUUCAUAAUUGACAUAAAUUAUUUAUGAGAAAAAAUUGUUGCAAGUGAAUUAAUGAUAAACAUUUUCUAAUGCAUUAUCCAGUUGAUACACUACAAACUAUGUGUCUAUUGUAUAAUUCUGUUUCUGUAUCCAGAGAACAAUGAAAAAGCACAUUGGAAAAUAAGUAAUACAUCGUCUGAUGUAGAGUUACGUAAAAUUUCCAAUGAUAUGGAAAGAAAUUACAGUAUGAUAAAAAUAAUUGUAUUGUGAUAACCUGAAACUGGUUGGGACAUAAUUAUACUUAUGAUGACAUUUGAACAUCCAAUGAAGGCUGCUAACACAGUGUUAACUUAGAGACAGGUCCCUGACAACCUAACACAGUGUUAACUUAGAGACAGGUCCCUGACAAUCUCCUCCUGCUGUUUCCAGUAUAUGGACCAACAGAAAAACGUAUUGGUUUCCAAUUGAAUAACUUAUGUGUCUCAAAAGUACAAAAUAUUUUCCUUUGCAUUCAUGAAAGAAUCGGAGAAAUCUGUCAUACUUAUUAAAUACAUUGUACAUAUAAUAAUGAACAGGAGUCCAUCCAGUAUUCUAUAUUAAUCUGCUAUUAAAUAAUAGUUGAUAAUCAAUGUGUUGUGUGUAUAACCCAACAGCACGUUUACAAUCAUAGGCACUUGAGCAAUAUAUGCUCAAAUGUAUUUCCCAAGUUAUUUGAAGAAGACAGCCAAGCAUCCCAUUAAUUAAGAGUAGAGAAUGACUUUUUUUGCCAAUAUAUCGGUUUUAGAUCUACUUCACUGACCAAUAUAUCGGUUUUAGAUCUACUUCACUGACCAAUAUAUCGGUGUUAGAUCUACUUCACUGACCAUUAUAUCGGUUUUAGAUCUACUUCACUGACCAAUAUAUCGGUUUUAGAUCUACUUCACUGACCAGUAUAUCGGUUUUAGAUCUACUUCACUGACCAAUAUUUUGCUGAUUUAUACAGUUAGCAUGCAAACUAAAUGUACUGAUCACAUCAUAUCUUAAGUAAGAUUCAUCAGUUUGGAAAUUUGUAAUGUUAAGUAUUAUUUUAUACACAGAUAGUGUUUGUAUUGAAUGUGUUAUAAUAUUUCCAGACUGAAUGGUCCCUUUGUCAACUUAUGACCGAAUGAGCCAUCUGUAUUGUUUACCUACGAUGUGACAAAAUACUGGUAACCUAUUCGAUACAGUGUGAAUACACUCUCUAAUCAAUGUCCUGUGUCAAGUAACAUAUGAAAUUUAUAAUUUCGUCACCUAGUUGUACAGGUAAGCAAUACAAAUCACUCACUCUGGCAUAGCUCGUUUAAUACGUACCCAGUAUAUUGUUUGUGUAACAAAUGUAAACAAAUAACAUCAGCUCUAUAGAGCUUUUGACCGACAUACAUGUUACCUACAAAGACGUUCACACUUGGACAAGUUAGACAUAUUGACAUUUAGGUGAUAUAAAUAUUAUAUGAGAUUAAAAACACUUCAGAUUUAAAGCUAUUAUCAGUAUAGACACAUUUUACACACUUUUGUUAGUACAAUAUCUAGCAUCUAACAUAUUUUAAAAAUGCAUAAGAUUUAUAAAGUUCUGGAUUUGUCAGGUUGGUUCAUAUUAAAAGGUAAUCAAUAUACAAUACUGUACCAAGGGGAGGUAAUCAAUAUACAAUACUGUACCAAGGGGAGGUAAUCAAU